AUGUUUGAGUGUUAAAUAAUGUUUUAGUUUUAUAAUAAAAUUCAUCUCUAAAAUGAUUAGAAGUAGAGUCAUUAAAAGUGUUAGACCUAUAUUUAUGAGGGGGUUUUCUGAAACUAAUGUUUAACCCUAAUAUAAAAAAAUGAAAGAUGUUUAGCCGCCUCUCUCUCCCUUUCUGAUAUCUAUUUCUUCUCCUUCUCUUUUCUCUAAUAUCUGUCUCUUCUCCUCCUCUCUAAGAUUUAUGGUACAGUGCGAGCUAGUGUUUUUGAAUGGAAAUCUUCACCUUUCAAUGCCAUACACGAAGCUUCAAAAGCCUUCCAUAAUAUUUGGUGGUGAACGGGUUCGCCGGUUCAAAAGCGUCACGAUUUUCCGGCCGAACCGCCGGCCACCUGUAAAAACGGGUUGUUAGGCUGAACCGGCCUGGCGUAAGCAGCGGAUCCCAGCCUGACCGGUCGGUCUGGCCGGUCCGGUCUGGGUAGGAGAACAUUGCUCCUCACUAACCCCCCUCCUUCAUUCUCCUUUUCAAUUCUCCCUAAUGGAGAAUUGGGAACACAUAGGUUGUUCAAUAUUGGCAUCUGAGAGGACUUCCUCCUAUGGAAAGAGGUUACUUGAUUUUCAUGUCAAUUCACCUAUUGGAACUAUGCAUAUCAACUCAUUUGAAAUGAAUCAGAAUUAAGAUCUGCGUGGUUGGUUCACUGAGGUGAUUCAAAAGGUUGGAGUGGAGAAUGUAGUUCAGGUAAUAACAAACAAUAAAGACACAUACAUUCAAUUAGGUGAAGAAUUUGAUCAUGAUUUUACCCGCAUUUUUUCACAACUUGUGCCACACAGAUGAUUGAUUUUAUACUUCAAGAUUUUAGAAGAGUUCCUUGGGUAAAUGAUAUAGUUGAAAACACGAAACUGGUAAUAGGUCUUCUUUGCAAGAACCCAUGCCCUUUAGAUUUUAAGAGAGUUAUAGGAUUUCACCUCAUUUGUGUGGGUCAAACGAAAUGUACUACAUACUUUCAUACGUUAGAAAGACUAACUAGUUUUGAAGAAACUUUGAAAGCGUUGGUAAGCACAAAAGAUUGGGAAAAUGGAGAAUAAAAUGUUAAUGGAUCAUAGUAUUGUCUACUAUAUUCUAAGUGAAUCUUUUUGGGAAGAAUGUAAACGAGUUCAUCUUUUGGUUGGGAUUUAAUUGAGUUUACGUCGAUUGACCAUUGGAAAAACCACACCUAGUUUAAGAUAUAUGUUUGCAGCUCUGUAUAAAGCAAAGGAGGUGUUUUAUGAUCAAUAGUAGGAUUUAAGCAUAUUUUGUUCCACAUUAUAAGGUUGGCUUCUACUUUAGCCCAUUUUUUCUCGAAAUUAACCAUUCAUUAUAUCCUCUAUGGGGUACUUUUUUGGAAAAUUGCACCAGUUGAUAAAGUUGAAUAAGAAAAAGGAGCUUAUGAACUUGUCUCUUCAAAACGACGAAAAUAUUGAGAUAGCCGUUGAUCCAGGUGAUGCACAUCCAUGGUUGAAACGGGUGUCUAUUCGUGUUAUAAGUCAGACCAGUAGCCUUUCUCAAUCAGACUUACCAACGGUUUGAUGAUAAUGAGAUAUUGGAAGGUUGAAGAUUAUUUUGGAGGAUAAGAUGGUGAGUCUUGCACAUAGUAGUUUGUAAAUUUGUGAAUACGAAUAUAUGACACUUUGAUAGAAUUUAUGUUUGUCUACUAUUCUUUGCUUUGACAA